CGGAUCCCGCACGCAGUGGCUGCGGUUCCAUCCUCGUCCAGCGGGCCGGCAGAGCGCGGGGGAACCGGGGGCCGGGGCCACUGACGCCCGUCCGCUCGCCGCGGCAGGCCCAUGUCGGAGGGACCUGCUCGGCCCCGCAGGAUGUCCCAGCCGCCCUCCAUCACCCUCCACGUCCCCGAGGGCACCGAGAGCGAUGGGUGAGUGUGACCCUCCCACUGCCCCGCUGUGCCCCUGCUCUUGCACCCCAGUGGCAUGAGGUCUCUGUGUCCCUGCAGCCAGGAGCCGAGUCCGGACAACGAGAGAGCCCUGCACACCUCCUUCCACCAGCUUAUCCUGGAGCAGAGCAGCUUGAUCGAGGCAGGUCUGGAGCUGGAGAUGAAGGAGAGGGACAGAGAGUCCCCGGCCUGCCUGGCUCCCCCAGACGCCUGGCCAGAGCCAGGGCAGGGUGAGCAGUACCCUGGCUACUGCUCCGCCUCCCUGCAGAUCCUGGCCAGCAUGCCCAGCCGCACCAUCGGUAGGUGCCACCUGCCCUCCCGCCUUUCUCCAGGCCCCAGAGCCUCUCAGAGAGCUCUCCCGCCUACCCUGCUCUCCCACAGCCACUCAAACCCUGCCCUGCUCUGGCCUGCAGGACGCAGCCUCG
rnacentral:lncRNA from 1 species